UACGGAGGGUGCAAGCGUUAUCCGGAUUCACUGGGUUUAAAGGGUGCGUAGGUGGGCAGUUAAGUCAGUGGUGAAAUCUCCGGGCUUAACCCGGAAACUGCCAUUGAUACUAUCUGUCUUGAAUACCGUGGAGGUGAGCGGAAUAUGUCAUGUAGCGGUGAAAUGCUUAGAUAUGACAUAGAACACCAAUUGCGAAGGCAGCUCACUACACGAAUAUUGACACUGAGGCACGAAAGCGUGGGGAUCAAACAGGG
rnacentral:rRNA from 1 species